ACGAACGCUGGCGGCGUGCUUAACACAUGCAAGUCGAACGAUGAAGAAGAGCUUGCUCUUUGGAUUAGUGGCGAACGGGUGAGUAACACGUGAGCAAUCUGCCCUUGACUCUGGGAUAAGCGUUGGAAACGACGUCUAAUACCGGAUAUGACCCUCGGAGGCAUCUCCUGGGGGUGGAAAGAAUUUUGGUCAAGGAUGAGCUCGCGGCCUAUCAGCUAGUUGGUGAGGUAAUGGCUCACCAAGGCGACGACGGGUAGCCG
rnacentral:rRNA from 1 species